rnacentral:rRNA from 1 species
UUUGUUUCCGUUUAGUGAAC